CUACGGGUCGCUGCAGUGGGGAAUAUUGGGCAAUGGGCGCAAGCCUGACCCAGCAACGCCGCGUGAGGGAAGAAUGUCUUCGGAUUGUAAACCUCUGUCCUUGGGGACGAAAAAAAUGACGGUACCCAAGGAGGAAGCUCCGGCUAACUACGUGCCAGCAGCCGCGGUAAUACGUAGGGAGCAAGCGUUGUCCGGAAUUAUUGGACGUAAAGGGUGCGUAGGCGGCGCUGUAAGUCAGAUGUGAAAUCCCCGGGCUUAACUCGGGAGUUGCAUUUGAAACUACAGUGCUUGAGUAAAGAAGGGGUAAGUGGAAUUCCUAGUGUAGCGGUGAAAUGCGUAGAUAUUAGGAGGAACACCAGUGGCGAAGGCGACUUACUGGUCUUUUACUGACGCUGAGGCACGAAAGCGUGGGGAGCAAACAGGAUUAGAUACCCGCGUAGUC
rnacentral:rRNA from 1 species